rnacentral:rRNA from 1 species
UACGUAGGGUCCGAGCGUUGUCCGGAAUUAUUGGGCGUAAAGAGCUCGUAGGCGGUUUGUCGCGUCUGCUGUGAAAUCCCGAGGCUCAACCUCGGGUCUGCAGUGGGUACGGGCAGACUGGAGUGCGGUAGGGGAGAAUGGAAUUCCUGGUGUAGCGGUGGAAUGCGCAGAUAUCAGGAGGAACACCGAUGGCGAAGGCAGUUCUCUGGGCCGUAACUGACGCUGAGGAGCGAAAGCGUGGGGAGCGAACCGG